rnacentral:rRNA from 1 species
UACGUAGGGUGCGAGCGUUGUCCGGAAUUACUGGGCGUAAAGAGCUCGUAGGUGGUUUGUCGCGUUGUCCGUGAAAACUCACAACUCAAUUGUGGGCGUGCGGGCGAUACGGGCAGACUGGAGUACUGCAGGGGAGACUGGAAUUCCUGGUGUAGCGGUGGAAUGCGCAGAUAUCAGGAGGAACACCGGUGGCGAAGGCGGGUCUCUGGGCCGAUAUCGACGCUGAGGAGCGAAAGCGUGGGGAGCAAACAGG